AUUACAGCCACUAGAGCCAGUCCCACAAAGAGCUUUCCUUAGUAUGUGCCAUUUCUGUGGAGGGUGGGGGUGUGGCCUUGACCAACUGCCACUUUGCUCUUUUGAAAGCCAUGAUGUCUCUUUCUCAUGGGCGGGCCAAAUUCUCUGGGCGGGGAAAGCAGAGAAAGGGGAGGUAACCUUGCUCCUUAUGACCUCAUAAGGAGCAGAUUCCAAAUCGGCCCAUCUGAGCUUUCAUUUUCUCAAAGGCAGAGUAGGAUACCCAAGGCUCGGUUUACACUUAUCGCCAUUUCUAGCCACUGGGGGACCAUAGGCAGGCUGGGGGAACGCA